rnacentral:rRNA from 1 species
AUGCCUAACACAUGCAAGUCGAACGGUAACAGGUCUUCGGAUGCUGACGAGUGGCGCACGGGUGAGUAACGCGUGGAUAUCUGCCUAUGAGUGGGGGACAACUUUCGGAAACGAAAGCUAAUACCGCAUAAUCUCUACGGAGCAAAGCAGGGGACCUUUCGGGGCCUUGUGCUUAUAGAUGAGUCCGCGUCAGAUUAGCUAGUUGGUGGGGUAAGAGCCUACCAAGGCGAUGAUCUGUAGCUGGUUUGAGAGGAUGAUCAGUCACACUGGAACUGAGACACGGUCCAGACUCCUACGGGAGGCAGCAGUGGGGAAUUUUGCACAAUGGGCGCAAGCCUGAUGCAGCGAUGCCGCGUGUGGGAAGAAGGCCCUUGGGUUGUAAACCACUUUCAAUUGGGAAGAAGGGAUGAGGAUUAAUAAUUCUCUGACUUGACGGUACCUUUAGAAGAAGCACCGGCUAAUUUCGUGCCAGCAGCCGCGGUAAUACGAAAGGUGCAAGCGUUGUUCGGAUUUACUGGGCGUAAAGAGAUCGUAGGUGGUUUGUUAAGUUGGAUGUGAAAUCCCGGGGCUCAACCUCGGAACUGCAUCCAAAACUGGCGGACUUGAGUUCGGGAGGGGUAAGCGGAAUUCCGUGUGUAGCAGUGAAAUGCGUAGAUAUACGGAGGAACACCUGAGGCGAAGGCGGCUUACUGGACCGAUACUGACACUGAGGAUCGAAAGCGUGGGUAGCAAACAGGAUUAGAUACCCUGGUAGUCCACGCCCUAAACGAUGUCAACUAGCCGUUGCGGGUAUCGACCCCUGCAGUGGCGCAGCUAACGCGAUAAGUUGACCGCCUGGGGAGUAC